GAUGAACGCUGGCGGCGUGCCUAAUACAUGCAAGUCGAGCGAACAGACGAGGAGCUUGCUCCUCUGACGUUAGCGGCGGACGGGUGAGUAACACGUGGAUACCCUACCUAUAAGACUGGGAUAACUUCGGGAAACCGGAGCUAAUACCGGAUAAUAUAUUGAACCGCAUGGUUCAAUAGUGAAAGACGGCUUUGCUGUCUCUUCUAGAUGGAUCCGCGCCGCAUUAGCUAGUUGGUAAGGUAACGGCUUACCACGGCAACGAUGCGUAGCCGACCUGAGAGGGUGAUAGGCCACACUGGAACUGAGACACGGUCCAGACUCCUACGGGAGGCAGCAGUAGGGAAUCUUCCGCAAUGGGCGAAAGCCUGACGGAGCAACGCCGCGUGAGUGAUGAAGGUCUUCGGAUCGUAAAACUCUGUUAUUAGGGAAGAACAAAUGUGUAAGUAACUAUGCACGUCUUGACGGUACCUAAUCAGAAAGCCACGGCUAACUACGUG
rnacentral:rRNA from 1 species